GACAUAAAAAAAAAGGAGAUGCAGACUUUAGAGAGAGAAAGUAAGAGUCUGAGAAAGUAGAGAGAGAGAGAGAGCAGCAAAGAAAAAGGAUCCGAUGGGUUCCGGUCGCCGGUGAUGGCGGAGCCAUGGUGCCUUUAGAUGGAGCUACAACAGUGGUGGUCUAGGUGGUGUCGGGUUGGAGAAACAAACAACAGUGGUGGUGCUAGGGUUUGAUAGAGGAUGAUGGUGGUAAGAGGCGGUGGUUCAGUUGACAACUGUGACGACCUCUUCCUUUUCUUAAAACCCCCUUCUAUAUUGUCUCUCAUGUUCUUAUCCAUUCCUCCACCAAUUCCAGGGAAAGGCCCUCAUGUUGGCUGAAAUAUUUGAUUAUGUCCACUUUUCAAGUCGAGGCGUGUGUAAGUGUGUGUAUAUAUUUCUGUUUCAUUAUGUUAGUUAGAGAAAAUAUACUUUUCUAAUUAUAAAUUAACAAACAAAUUUUCAUUUUUUUAAUGAAGCUUGCUCCCGUUAUUCCUAUGCCAUAUGAUUUUGUAGUGGAUUUGAUAUUUGAAUGCAUUCAUGCUUAAACCUGAUAAGGUAAUUAAUUAAUAUUUAAGGUUUUAUGAUCCUAUGGCUUAUAGCAUCAGCUAGAACUUAUGCAACCUAUCUAGAAAGACAAGCGAAAAAGCAUAACAGAAUAGUCCUUUUAUUAAAACCAAUCGAAAUAUAGGCAAUGUAUUCUAGAGUUCGAAAUAUCUGUUCAUAAAUUUCAAAGUAGGCUGAUUUAGGUUGUGGUUUACCUGUAGUGGAGUAGUGGGUCAAGUAGGAAAGGUAAGUUCAAAGAGAACAUGUCAAAUGGUUGAAAUUCGUCUCAAAUGUAUUUUUAAUGUUUAUCGUCUCUCACAUUGUAUUAAUUAAAAAAUAGAAUAUUACAGUACAACAAAGCUAUUGUAGGCGUUCUAACAAGUAUUGAUACAUAGCUUGGAGGUUGUUAGUAUGGUGAUGGAACCCAUAUCAAUCGGUUUGAACGUUGGUCUUGACAUUGUUAGGGGAAGCUCCAGUUUUCUUUGUUGAUGAUUUACGUACAUGCCAAUAUUUUAAAUAGAUAUCAUCGGAAACUAAAGGAAUCUGAAACAACCAUUAUUGUUGGGAAUAAGAUAGUAUGAUGUUAGAAUUCUAAUUUAUUUUAGUACUUAUGUCACUACAACACUAAAAUAUACUGUCUAUCCGGCCGCAACGCGGCGGGUACUUUCCUAGUUUUUAUAUAAAUGCAUAUAUUUUUUUUUCUA